GAGUAAAGAUUUCGGUCGCUUUGGGAGGAGCUCGCUUACUAUCAGCUUGUUGGUAGGGUAAUGGCCUACCAAGGCUAUGACGGUUAGGGGGUGUGAGAGCAUGACCCCCAGCAUUGGCACUGAAACACUGGCCAAACACCUACGGGUGGCUGCAGUCGAGAAUCUUCCACAAUGGGGGAAACCCUGAUGGAGCGAUGCUACGUGCGGGAUGAAGGCCUUCGGGUUGUAAACCGCUUUUGUAGGGGACGAAAUUUUUGACGGUACCCUUUCGAAUAAGAGGUUGCUAACUCUGUGCCAGCAGCAGCGGUAAUACAGAGACCUCAAGCGUUAUCCGGAUUUACUGGGCGUAAAGCGUCUGUAGGGGGUUUAUUAAGUUCCAAGUAAAAUUUCAAGGCUCAACUUUGAAUUCGCUUGGAAAACUAAUAAACUGGAGUCUAGCAGAGGUGCAUGGAACUUGUGGUGUAGGAGUGAAAUCCGUUGAUAUCACAAGGAACACCAAAGGCGAAGGCAUUGCACUGGGCUAGCACUGACCCUGAGAGACGAAAGCGUGGGGAGCAAAACGGAUUAGAUACCCGUGUAGUCCACGCCCUAAACGAUGAAUGCUAAAUGUUCGGGGAUUCGACCCCCUGGGUGUUACAGCUAACGCGUUAAGCAUUCCGCCUGGGAAGUACGGCCGCAAGGCUAAAACUCAAAGGAAUAGACGGGGAUCCGCACAAGCGGUGGAGCGUCUGGUUUAAUUCGACAGUAAGCGUGGUACCUCACCAGGGUUUGACAUCCCUUGACAGCCUUGGAAACAAGGUUUCCUUCGGGCAAGGUGACAGGUGCUGCAUGGUCGUCGUCAGUUCGUGCCGUGAGGUGUUCCGUUAAGUCGGGAAACGAACGAAACCCCUAUUGCAUGUUACAAUUUCUCAUGCAAGACUGCCCGGAUAUACUGGGAGGAAGGUGGGGAUGACGUCAGAUCUGCAUGGUCCUUAUACCCUGGGCGACGCAGGCGCUACAAUGGCAGAGACAAAGGGUUGCAAAACCGCAAGGUGAAGCUAAUCCCAAAAACUUUGUCUAAGUUCGGAUUGAAGGCUGCAAUUCGCCUUCAUGAAGCUGGAAUCGCUAGUAAUCGUGAAUCAGCCACGUCACGGUGAAUAUGUUCCCGGAUCUUGUACUCACCGCCCG
rnacentral:rRNA from 1 species